AGUAUGGUGUAGUGGGAGCAGCCCACUGGGCUUUCAAACCAGAGACAGGGGUUCAAUCCCCCUCA
rnacentral:tRNA from 1 species